GCAGAUGUGGUGUAACUGGCAACAUAAGGGCAUGGUAAGCCCUCGAUGUGGGUUCAAUCCCCGCCGUCUGCU
rnacentral:tRNA from 1 species